GUUCAUUAGUGAUAGUGUGUGUGUGUGUUCAGGCUCCUCCAGGCCUCAAGAAGAACCUGAAGCGGACGUAUGAGUCCUGGAGCGUGGAGCAGAUCAGUAAAGGCGGUCACCUGACUCUAGCUCAGUCGCUCUUCUGUCUGGCCUGGUUCCACUCUGUGUGUCAGGAGAGACGCAACUACAUUCCACAGGGAGUUCUCUGUCAGACCUGAGAGCCGGCUUUGAGAUCAUUGACCGUCUGUUUGAAGGUGGGAAGCCGUUUCAAUGAGAAUUUGUGCACGGUCUCCUGGAAAACGCCAUCUACAGCGGCCGCAUCGAUAACGUGUGUGACCUGCGGGUCCUUCGCUCGUACCUGCAGCAGUUCUUUAACGCUCAGCUCCUCACACAGUCACACACACACUCGCGAGUCAAGAAAACACACGCUUUGAUACA
rnacentral:lncRNA from 1 species